UAGGGAAUCUUCGGCAAUGGACGGAAGUCUGACCGAGCAACUCCGCGGGAGUGAAGAAGGUUUUCGGAUCGUAAAGCUCUUUUGUUAGAGAAGAACGUUGGUAGGAGUGGAAAAUCUACCAAGUGACGGUAACUAACCAGAAAGGGACGGCUAACUACGUGCCAGCAGCCGCGGUAAUACGUAGGUCCCGAGCGUUGUCCGGAUUUAUUGGGCGUAAAGCGAGCGCAGGCGGUUCUUUAAGUCUGAAGUUAAAGGCCGUGGCUUAACCAUUGUACGCUUUGGAAACUGGAGGAGUUGAAUGAAGAGAGUGAGAGUGGAAUUCCAUGUGUAGAGUUGAAAUGCGUAGUUAUAGGGAGGAACACCGGUGGCGAAAGGGGAUCUCUGGUCUGUUGAUGACGCUAAGGCUCGAAAGCGUGGGGAGCAAACAGG
rnacentral:rRNA from 1 species